GAUACAACAUGAAGGUCCUCGCCAGAUGCUGAUACCAAGUUCUUAGACUUCUCAUCUCCAGGAUCAUGUGCUCCUUAAACAAACAAACAAACAACAAAACCAGCCAGCCAACCAACCAACCAACCAACCAACCAACCAACCAACCAACCAACCAAAAAAACCCAACCCAGUAAGGGGUAUUCUGUCAUAGCCACACAAAAGAGACUCAUCCAAAUUAUUUCUUUAAAAGGGGCUGCAUAUGUUAAGAUGUUUUCCAUUUCCAUUUAUUUUGUGGCUUAAAUGGUUUUAAAAACAAUGACUCUGAAUGGCUUCUGGCUGCUGUCCUAUUUUUUCCUCAUUUUUCUAUUUUUCUCCUUUAUGGCAUUAUCUAGCAGGUGUCAUGGUGUAUGGAAAUGAAGAAUACUUUUAUGGUUCUUCCUCCAAACAGUGCAUAAAUCUUUUUGACCAACUCAUUUUCUCAUCAUAGCAAUUAGAGAGGAGCUAGUUUCAUGGCUAGAGCCAGAAACCAUAGAGAAUUGGAUCAGCACACUUAAGAUUAGAGAGGUGAGAAUUAUGCAUGAUCUAUGACCAUACUCAGUAUAGUGAAGACAGUAUAGUGAAGUAUAAUGGAAGGAAAGACUGUAGCAUAAAUUGAAUAAUAAAGACUAUAUUUUCAAUUGCUAAGCCAGUAUAUCCUGACAUUCUAAUGUGAGUUAGUUUUUUAAAAAUACAUAGCUAUCACUUUUCCUUCAAGAGCCUGGCAGAAUUUUCUUUCAGGGGAUUCCUUCACUUGUGACUUUUCAUAUCCAGCUGCCCAUUUCUAACUUCUGGACAUUGUAUUGUGAAAGUAAUUUUGUUGAUAAAACAUAAAACAAUCACCUUUU
rnacentral:lncRNA from 1 species